rnacentral:rRNA from 1 species
CCUACGGGAGGCAGCAGUGGGGAAUAUUGGGCAAUGGGCGCAAGCCUGACCCAGCAACGCCGCGUGAAGGAAGAAGGCUUUCGGGUUGUAAACUUCUUUUGUCAGGGACGAAGCAAGUGACGGUACCUGACGAAUAAGCCACGGCUAACUACGUGCCAGCAGCCGCGGUAAUACGUAGGUGGCAAGCGUUAUCCGGAUUUACUGGGUGUAAAGGGCGUGUAGGCGGGACUGCAAGUCAGAUGUGAAACCCACGGGCUCAACCUGUGGCCUGCAUUUGAAACUGUAGUUCUUGAGUGCUGGAGAGGUAGACGGAAUUCCUAGUGUAGCGGUGAAAUGCGUAGAUAUUAGGAGGAACACCAGUGGCGAAGGCGGUCUGCUGGACGGCAACUGACGCUGAGGCGCGAAAGCGUGGGGAGCAAACAGGAUUAGAUACCCCAGUAGUC